UACAGAGGGUGCGAGCGUUAAUCGGAAUUACUGGGCGUAAAGCGCACGUAGUCGGCUUUGCAAGUCGGUUGUGAAAUCCCCGGGCUCAACCUGGGAACUGCAUCCGAGACUGCAUUGCUAGAGUAUGGGAGAGGGAAGCGGAAUUUCUGGUGUAGCAGUGAAAUGCGUAGAUAUCAGAAGGAACACCUAUUGCGAAGGCAGCUCGCUGGGACGUAACUGACGCUGAGACGCGAAAGCGUGGGGAGCAAACAGG
rnacentral:rRNA from 1 species